UUGGGAAUAUUGGACAAUGGAGGGAACUCUGAUCCAGUGACGCCGCGUGAAGGAAGAAGGUCUUCGGAUUGUAAACUUAUUUUAUCAGGGAAGAAAGAAAUGACAGUACCUGAAGAAAAAGGACCGGCUAACUACGUGCCAGCAGCCGCGGUAAUACGUAGGGUCCAAGCGUUAUCCGGAUUUACUGGGUGUAAAGGGCGAGUAGACGGUAUGUCAAGUCAGCUGUGAAAACUAGGGGCUCAACCCCAAGACUGCAGUUGAAACUGGCAAACUAGAGUGCAGAAGAGGUAAGUGGAAUUCCUAGUGUAGCGGUGAAAUGCGUAGAUAUUAGGAGGAACACCAGUGGCGAAGGCGACUUACUGGGCUGUAACUGACGUUGAGGCGCGAAAGUGUGGGGAGCAAACAGG
rnacentral:rRNA from 1 species